rnacentral:rRNA from 1 species
AUUGAACGCUGGCGGCAGGCCUAACACAUGCAAGUCGAGCGGAUGAGAGGAGCUUGCUCCUCGAUUCAGCGGCGGACGGGUGAGUAAUGCCUAGGAAUCUGCCUAGUAGUGGGGGACAACGUUUCGAAAGGAACGCUAAUACCGCAUACGUCCUACGGGAGAAAGUGGGGGAUCUUCGGACCUCACGCUAUUAGAUGAGCCUAGGUCGGAUUAGCUAGUUGGUAGGGUAAAGGCCUACCAAGGCGACGAUCCGGAACUGGUCUGAGAGGAUGAUAAGUCACACUGGAACUGAGACACGGUCCAGAAUCGUACGGGAGGCAGCAGUGGGGAAUAGUGGACAAUGGGCGGAAGCCUGAUCCAGCCAUGCCGCGUGUGUGAAGAAGGCCUUCGGGUCGUAAAGCACUUUAAGUUGGGAGGUAGGGCUCAUAGCGAAUACCUGUGAGUUUUGACGUUACCAACAGAAUAAGCACCGGCUAACUUCGUGCCAGCCGCCGCGGUAA